rnacentral:pre_miRNA from 1 species
AAUAAGGUUAUUUUUCAGUUUUUAUAUAAUAUUUUAACCUUCGUUUUAUUUGAAAUUUUUUUACGAUUAAUAUUUUUGUUGUUACUAGAUGAUAAAAAUAUAAAUAUUACUUUAUAUGUGACUAAUUUUUUAAAGUUUUUAUAUAAAAUUUUUAAAUAAGAUAAAUGAUGAAAGCAUUGGGCAUAGAAAUCAAAAAAUGAUAUUAUA